rnacentral:rRNA from 1 species
AUUGAACGCUGGCGGAAUGCUUUACACAUGCAAGUCGAACGGUAGAGGGGGCAACCCCUCGAGAGUGGCGAACGGGUGAGUAAUAUAUCGGAACGUGCCCAGUCGUGGGGGAUAACGUAGCGAAAGUUACGCUAAUACCGCAUACGAUCUAAGGAUGAAAGCGGGGGAUCGCAAGACCUCGCGCGCUUGGAGCGGCCGAUAUCAGAUUAGGUAGUUGGUGGGGUAAAGGCUCACCAAGCCAACGAUCUGUAGCUGGUCUGAGAGGACGACCAGCCACACUGGAACUGAGACGCGGUCCAGACUCCUACGGGAGGCAGCAGUGGGGAAUUUUGGACAAUGGACGCAAGUCUGAUCCAGCCAUUCCGCGUGCAGGAUGAAGGCCCUCGGGUUGUAAACUGCUUUUGUACGGAACGAAAAGGUCUCUCUUAAUACGGGGGACUCAUGACGGUACCGUAAGAAUAAGCACCGGCUAACUACGUGCCAGCCGCCGCGGUAA